rnacentral:lncRNA from 1 species
CCGCCUUCCUCUGCCCCACCACUCUCCCCGUGGACUCAUUCCCUCGCAUCUCCGGCUUAGGAUCGGUCGGGCGCUCGCUGCUCGGCCACCCCCGCGGCCACGACUCUCUCCUCCAGCUCGCGCUGCGGUCCAGCGGUGGUGAAUUCCUCCUCCUCCUCAACAACACACAGCGGCUGUCGAUGUUGUUGAUGUCAUGUGCUCGCCUCGGGCAGCCGCUGUGUGUUGCUGAGUGCUGUGCUGUUGUCUGUUUGCUGUUGAUGUAUGAUUCGAUCCAGUAGUAGUUAGCAAGUAAUCCGGUAUGCUGUUGAUGAAAUAAACAUGUACCUGUGUGUGCGUGUUGAUUUCUCCCCUGCAUAUAUCCCCAAUGGCUGUUGAUGUACGAUCCAUGAAGCUCUGCUAAUGAAUUAGCUACUAGUGGAUCCUAGGAAGAAAGAAAAUUGUUGCACAGAAUGCCCAAGUGUAGUUAUAAAACUGUUGCAAACGAUGCUCACAGCAGCUCAAGAACAAGUGAAAUUCACCUAGGCCAACCAAUUCCAUAUUUAGGUAUUUGCCGGGUUAAGUAUUUGGUCCCCAAAUUUUCACGCGUUAUGGUGGCGAGCUAAAACCAUCGUAAGCGAAUUAUUGCCAAAUUGGUAGAAAAGGAAACAGUAGUACUAAAAGAAAAAUCACAGAAAGAGUUUAUGCCUGGUUGGACCAAGUGGUUUCUGAUCAUGCAUCUUGAUGCAGGUGCAAGCAGGAGGCGAACGUAAGCGUAUGUUGGUGUGUAGAGGUGAUCAUUUUUGGCUUCUCAAGCAACCUGCAAGCACGCAUCACACUAUUUCAGUGAAUGUAUGUGCAAGCAUCCUAAGAAUACGUCCAACUGUGCAAAGGUUGUUGUGUGAACAUUGGUCACUCUACUCUUAUCUAGGCUGGGUCGGCAAUAUAUUGAAUACAAAUCAAAUAUUGAUCUUCAUGUGUUUGCAGGCAUAUUUUAAUUAUGAUGAUUAGCAAAUGAUUCCUGCAGUUGUUUUGUUUCGAAUGCGAUUCUUGGAUAGAGAUUGAACUCGUACUCCAAACGAAUGUAUGCUGGGUCUGGUCGAACUGCAACAUCUGCCUAAUUUAUUUUCACAUUAAACACAAUUCAGCAUUAUAAUACGAUGUAUUAUGCUCAUAAAAC